rnacentral:lncRNA from 1 species
ACAAGGGAUGGUUCUGGAAACGUGGGCUCUGAUACCACCUAUAAUACCCUAAACUCGAUAUGAGGCGCAAUUCUUACUCAUGCCAUUCUCAUGCAAUCGGCCCACAAAAUAUACAUUAUGCAUAGCUAAAAUAUUAUCAUACAACCUAGCAUCCAUAUGAUAUAUACAGUAGUUAUAUAUAUAGAACAUGAGGUUAAAUUUAGAGUUUAACAAAACAAAAUAAAAAUUUCUAGAAUAUGAACAAAAUGUACAUAACCAGGAACCCUUUUGCAGGUUCUACUCAUCU